GUCGCGUGGCUGUGACAAUAGGUAAAGAGUUAUAUUUUUAAUAGUUAGUGUAUAUAAGUCUAUAUGACACAUGUUGUUGUGUAUCUUUCUGUUCACUGACUCGCUGUAUCUACAGAUUAACGAUAUCUACACCUGUACCUUCAGAUUAACGAUAUCUACACCUGUGCCUACGGACACCUGAACAACAAUCAUGAGAUGCUUAAUGGUCACCGUGUGUAUUGUCCUGUGUGCAGUUACAUUUGGAGAAUCUAAAAUAAGAAGCAAGCGGCAAGCAGCUUAUGGAUAUGGUGGAUACGGUGCUGUAGAUCCUAAUGCUCAACAAACAGCUUAUGGAAUGCCAUCUCAAUAUCCCUCUGCUAAUGGGGCUGCGGUAGAUCCAGCUCAAUAUAAUGCUUACGGUGCAGCAGCUAAUCCAGCAGGUUAUGGCAACGCUGCUUAUCAACCUGCUUACCAACAAGCAGCAGCUAACCCAGCUUAUGGUAAUGUUGCUUACCAACAAACAGCAGCCAAUCCUGCAUAUGCUGCUGCUCCAGCUGCCAAUCCUGCAUAUGCUGCUGCUCCAGCUGCCAAUCCUGCAUAUGCUGCUGCUCCAGCUGCCAAUCCUGCAUUUGCUGCUGCUCUACCUGCCAAUCCUGCAUAUGCUGCUGCUCCAGCUGCCAGUCCUUACGGUUACGCUACUACUCCCUAGAGAAACUGUGCUUGCAACAUUUAUAUACACACUUGUUUUUGUAAAUAAGCCGGAUUGAAGAGUUGUUCCCAUGUUAUAAAUAAAAAUAACAAAACCAUUA